UGACAUGUUGAACCAAUGAUCAUGAAUCUCUCUCUGGCUGAUGAUAUAGUGAUUUCUUUUGCAGGGAUUGAGCUGACAAAUACUAACCUUUUGCAUCUUUCAAGAGGGAGUGUUGAAAAACAGGAUGUCUUGUAUGCAAUGGGAAACAUGAAUUUGAGAAUCCCAUAAUUCAGGAACAGCAACAUGUGGAAGAUGCCCAGCGUAGAGUUUCUUUUUGCAGAGAUGUUACUCCUUUCAUCUGUUACUCUGGAUUUGGGGCCAGGCUUGGGAACAAGAAAGAAUCAGGCAUGUAUAACCUCUAUAAGUACUUAAUGCUAAAAUUACUACUUUUGGAAAUGCUAAUAAUUAGAGCAUGCUAUCUAUAGUAAGGAAGGCAACAAUGGUUCCAGUAGAAACCCCCUGAACUCAUAGUGUAAGGAAGAUACCCUCUUUUCCAAAGAAGGAACUAGGAAAUUUAAUCAGAAGUAUAAUCAGGAAUUUCUGAGCAUUCUCAGAAAUUGUGAAAAUACACAAAGUAGCUUCCUAGAGCCAAAGAACAUGAAUAUAUGCAGGGUGCAGAAUUGCAAUUGCACACUGCUUAUCCAGCCCUAGCCACUAAAUAGUUAUGGGCCUUGCUCCAGGGCUGGGAACCUGCCUUCCGCAAUGGGAUGCAAUGCACAGUGGGAGCUUUAAGCUCUGCCAGUCAGUGUAGGAUCUUUGCUUGAAAGAGCAAUGAAAAAAGAAAAGCAGAAUCAGUCAUGACUAUUCAAGAACAAAUUGGAAAGGCCAAUAGCAGGAAGGAUUCUACUCAGGAUUUUUUAUUAGUUCAGUCCAUGGUGGCAC